UAAAAAUUUAAUUUAUUUUUUUUUUACAUGUAAAUUUUAUUGUGAAUUAAUAAUUAUUUAAAUAAUGAUUAUUUUAUAUUUAUUCGCAGUAUUUAAUUUUAUAAAUAAAGGUAACUUUGAUAUAGAAAUAAAUUUUAUUAUAAACAAAUUUUGUGCCAGCAGUUGCGGUUAUACAAAAUAUGAAAUUAAAUUUUAUUAGCAUAUAAUUUAUUGUUUUAAUUAAAUUAAAAAUAUAAUUUUUUAGGUGAAAUUUUUAAAUUAUAAUUUGGUUUAUAUAAAAUAUUUGAAGUUAUUAAAUUUAUUUAUAGACUAGGAUUAGAUACCCUAUUAUUUUAAAUGUAAAUUUUAAAUGCUAAAUUAGUAUUAGUUAAGUUCUUCAAAUUUAAAAGUUUUGGCGGUAUUCUAAUCUUUUCAGAGGAACCUGUUCUGUAAUUGAUAAUCCACGAUAAGUUUAACUUUUUUUAGAAAUUUGUAUAUCGUUGUUAUAAAAAAUUUUUUUAGAAUUUAAAUUUUUGAUAUUUAUUAUUAUUAUUUAAAUCAGAUCAAGACAUAGUUUAUAAGAAAGUAGAAAUGGGUUACAAUAAAUUUAUUUAUAUGGAUAAAAAUUAUUAAAAUAUUUUUUGAAAGUGGAUUUGAAAGUAAUUUUAUUUAUUAAAUAUUAUGAUUAAAGUUUUGGAAUAUGCACAUAUCGCCCGUCGCUCUUUCUUUAAAGAAAGAUAAGUCGUAACAUAGUAGAUGUACUGGAAAGUGUAUCUAGAAAGAC
rnacentral:ncRNA from 1 species